CAAACUCACACACGCUCUUUCUUCCUCAGCUGACUCAUCAUCUCUUCUCUUGCUCUCACUGUAUUUUUCUUUUCUUCUCUUCAAUUAAAAAUGGAGGAGGAAUUGCAGAAGCAUAACACUGAUUGUGUUUAUUUCUUGGCCUCUCCUCUCACAUGCAAGAAGGUUCCUUUUCUUUUCUUCUUUCUUUUCUCUUUCAACCUUUGCGUUUCCGAUUCUGUUUUAGCCCUCUGCAUUUCUUCGAUCAAUCAAUUAGGGUUUUAUUUCAUUCACUUCACCUGAUCAAUUGUGUUUUUCAUAAAUUUUUAAUUUCUAAGGUCUACAAAUUUUGAUUUGUUUGCUACUGUUUAUUUCUAUUUUCUCACUCUAAAACACUGAUAGAUGGAUUUUACAUUGGGCUUGCUUGUUCUGUUUCGUAUUCUGUUUUUGUUCUUUUUUCUUCCGUCUGGAAAGAUUUAUGCCUUCAUUACAUGUUCUUUUGUUAUAGAACAAACUCACAGG
rnacentral:misc_RNA from 1 species